rnacentral:rRNA from 1 species
UACGUAGGGUGCAAGCGUUAAUCGGAAUUACUGGGCGUAAAGCGUGCGCAGGCGGUUUUGUAAGUCUGUCGUGAAAGCCCCGGGCUCCAACCUGGGAAUUGCGAUGGAGACUGCAAGGCUUGAAUCUGGCAGAGGGGGGUAGAAUUCCACGUGUAGCAGUGAAAUGCGUAGAGAUGUGGAGGAACACCGAUGGCGAAGGCAGCCCCCUGGGUCAAGAUUGACGCUCAUGCACGAAAGCGUGGGGAGCAAACAGG